AGCAGCCGCGGUAAUUCCAGCUCCAAUAGCGUAUAUUAAAGUUGUUGCAGUUAAAAAGCUCGUAGUUGAAUUUCGGGAUCAAUUAAUUGGUCGCGCCUCUGGUACGUACUGAUUUUAUUGGUUUCUCCCUUCUGACGAACCAUGAUGUCAUUAAUUUGGUGUCGUGGAGAAUCAGGACUGUUACUUUGAAAAAAUUAGAGUGUUUAAAGCAAGCUAACGCUUGAAUACAUUAGCAUGGAAUAAUGAAAUAGGACGUUUGAUCCUAUUUUGUUGGUUUCUAGGAUCGACGUAAUGAUUAAUAGGGAUAGUUGGGGGCAUUAGUAUUCAAUUGUCAGAGGUGAAAUUCUUGGAUUUAUUGAAGACUAACUACUGCGAAAGCAUUUGCCAAGGAUGUUUUCAUUAAUCAAGAACGAAAGUUAGGGGAUCGAAGACGAUCAGAUACCGUCGUAGUCUUAACCAUAAACUAUGCCGACUAGGGAUCGGAUGAUGUUAAUUUUUAAUGACUCA
rnacentral:rRNA from 1 species